GCCUGGCUGACUUAGUUGGUAGAGCAUGUGACUCUUGAUUACUGGGUCGUGAGUUCAAGCCCCAUGUUGGGUG
rnacentral:tRNA from 1 species